CACUCCUACGGGAGGCAGCAGUGAGGAAUAUUGGACAAUGGGUGGAAGCCUGAUCCAGCCAUCCCGCGUGCAGGAAGACGGCCCUAUGGGUUGUAAACUGCUUUUAUCUGGGGAUAAACCUACUUACGUGUAAGUAGCUGAAGGUACCAGAAGAAUAAGCACCGGCUAACUCCGUGCCAGCAGCCGCGGUAAUACGGAGGGUGCAAGCGUUAUCCGGAUUUAUUGGGUUUAAAGGGUCCGUAGGCGGACUGAUAAGUCAGUGGUGAAAUCCGACAGCUUAACUGUCGAACUGCCAUUGAUACUGUUAGUCUUGAGUAAGGUUGAAGUGGCUGGAAUAAGUAGUGUAGCGGUGAAAUGCAUAGAUAUUACUUAGAACACCAAUUGCGAAGGCAGGUCACUAAGUCUUAACUGACGCUGAUGGACGAAAGCGUGGGGAGCGAACAGGAUUAGAAACCCUAGUAGUCCCAUG
rnacentral:rRNA from 1 species